AGGGGAGCGUCCCUCCCGCUGCGGGUCCGGGGCAGGGUGCGCGGCUGGGGGUGAGGGCAGGCAGAGGCGGGAGCCUUCAGAGGCGCCUCCACACCUGAUCUCCUGCCCUUGUUUCCUCCCUGUCCCCUGUCAGCCAUUUUUCCCAUUUUGUGUUUUACAACUUUCCUUUCUUCCUGACAGAUUUCUCUACUAAAUUUGACUUCGUUUCAACACUUUUGUUGGGCAAAUUACAUUAAGAUGGAUGUUGCAGAGCUUGGAUUUAAAUCACAAUAACACCGGGGGAAGAUGAAUGGCAGUGCUAUUGAAUGUGGCUAAAAUUGGAUACUUCAGCACAGGACGAGCCCCAGGAGAGGCCUGGAUACUGACCACUGGUUCCGACAGUCUUCAAAGACAAUGGUGUUCAUGAGGACGGACGUCAUCUAGAAGACAGGGUCACAGGAUGACACUGGCGCCCAGCUCGAGGUCGCCCCAACCCCAGGCCUGCUAUGUGCCCCCCUGCUGCCCACCACAUCCGGCCACCAGCCAUGAGGGCACUUGCUGGACAGACAGCUUCGACUCUGGAAGCCUAUACUGCUGCCUAUGGGAACACUUGGCAACUCUCAGCUCCCUGAGGAAGAGCUGCCCCUACUGAAACGUGUGGCCACGGGGCAUGAGGGAUUUAGCUCCCCGACCAGGGAUUGAACCUACACCCUCUGUAUUGGAAGCUGAAGUCUUAACCACUGAACCAGCAAGAAAGUCCUACUCCUGUAUGUCAUACUCAUCCAUUUUCUUAAAUUCCAAGUCUGCAAGAUGCCUGGGAGGAGGUAAGAGAACACAGACAUCUACUACAACCUUUGUCCUUGAGGAGCUAAAAGCUUCCUGGGACAGGCUACUUAGCAGAGGUAACAGGAACCAGGGCUGGGCAAAGAUGCUGUGGGUAAGCGGCGGGAAGACGGAUACUUCUGGGUCCUUGAGAAUCAGGGAAGACACCACAGAGAAGGCCACAGUUAUGGAGUUCAUCAUAAAUGGGUUCUAAGCAGAGACAGCAGCAAAAAGGGAGACUGGGCAAGAACACAGAGGGUUUUGCAAUGGUAAGGAAUGCAGUGUGUAGAGAGAAGAGAGGUGGGCCAGAAGCAAGACCCCAGCGUGGGGUGGGAGACCUCGAUGGAGAAUCUGGCCACUCGCACCUAGAGAGACAUGCUCAGCUCUGUGCUUAGGAAAGCUCCCUCUGGGACACGUGGACUGUGCAGUGGACAGUACAGGAGGGAGGCCAGAGACGAGGCUGCUGCAACAGUCCCGGCAGAGAGUGACGAAGGAAGCUGUGGUCGCCCACGUGAAGCGGAUGCUACGGGUCCUGCUGUUUGGACACUACACCCCUCGUCUGCAGUCCUUCCUGUUUCCCUGCUUCAGAGCUCCUUUCCCUGAAGGAAGGCGGGGGAAACAGCAAUUAUGUGGCAGAGUCUACUACACACACCGCCCCUGACUAGGCUGUGGUGACAUCUGGCUUUGUCCUCUGGUCUUUUUGCAACCCAGUUUACCCUGUGAUCUCGGGCAAGGCACGGAACCUCUCUCUCUGUGUCUUAGUUUCAUUGCCCAUAAAGAGGGAAAUGAUAAUCCAGUAUAAGGAAGCUCAGGGACUCAAAUGAGAAUCAAAUGAGACAGUAGAUAUGAAAAGUGCAAAGAGUGAAAAGUGUUAUAAACAUUUAAGGUGUGUGUGUGUGUGUGUGUCUGUGUGUGUGUUUAUUCGCUCAGUCAUGUCUGACUCUUUGUGACUCCAU